AGCGAACGCUGGCGGCAGGCUUAACACAUGCAAGUCGAGCGGGCCCUUCGGGGUCAGCGGCCGACGGGUGAGUAACGCGCGGGAACGUGCCCUUCGGUUCGGAAUAACUCAGGGAAACUUGAGCUAAUACCGGAUACGCCCUUAUGGGGAAAGGCUUGCUGCCGAAGGAUCGGCCCGCGUCUGAUUAGCUAGUUGGUGAGGUUAUGGCUCACCAAGGCGACGAUCAGUAGCUGGUCUGAGAGGAUGAUCAGCCACACUGGGACUGAGACACGGCCCAGACUCCUACGGGAGGCAGCAGUGGGGAAUAUUGGACAAUGGGGGCAACCCUGAUCCAGCCAUGCCGCGUGAGUGAUGACGGCCUUAGGGUUGUAAAGCUCUUUUCUCCGGGACGAUAAUGACGGUACCGGAGGAAUAAGCCCCGGCUAACUUCGUG
rnacentral:rRNA from 1 species